UAUUUCUUUGUAUUAAGUCCUGUCUCUUAAAACGUAGUGAUUAUAUUCUCUUUGACCCUUUGCCCCGUCCAUAGAACAGUAAUCCUUAUCAGUGAUAAUAGAUUGUAUAACUCUAGAUAUACUUAGAUAUUAUGUGUUAUAUUUAUAGACCUAUAUGUGUGAAGUUGUGUGGUCGCUGAGAUAAAUAGAUCAGUGUUUAGAGUAUUAUGCAACCGCAUCUCUGAUAAGCUUAAUUAGUUUGGCAAGCUUUAAAGUUUACCAAACUUUCUGUACAGAAGAAACAGCUGAACAAAUGUUAGUGUUGCCACACAAAUAAAUGAAAUCAGGCACAGAAAAAUGUACUGGGGCAUUGUAGAAGACGAACUAAAUCAACUAAGAAUAAUAGUAAAUCAAGUUAUAAGAUAUCGUCAAUUAUUACAAUUCUUCAUUAUAAUUCUUCAUUACAACUAUCCAGCAUUUCGCCCCGCCCGCUGAUUGUCGAAACCAAUUUUUGUUAUGGUUGGAUAUACUUAUUUUAUAUCUGCCCGGAUAGCGACCACCGUACACAAAGUGUUACAACCCGCCAUAGUGGCUCAUACUCUCACCUCAUGAACAAAAACCAUUCGCAGGAGCCAUAUCACAUGGAGCUCCCAAUAUGAUACCAGGAUGACAUCAACCAUCACUUACUGGUUGCCGCCUGUGAUAAUGGCCUUAAUGUUGUAUAAAUACGUGGAAGAAAGCUAUUACGCAUCAAAGAGGAAAAAUUUGAAAGAUUACGAAAAUGAAGUUGAACCAGACCCUUGUAAAACUGUAAAUACAAAAAAAUAAGUUAUUAACCAGAAACGUUAGAAGUUUAAAGUUAUAAAGUAUCGGUAUUUAAUGGACUUACAUUUUAACUAUUUGUAAUAAAAGCAGUUAAGUACGUUAAAU